UGUCCUUAGUGACAUUCAACUAUUAAGGUUUGUCAGGUGCUUCUUCUGGACCAUUACUAACAUCUUCUUAUUUUCUAUAUUGGUAAAGCUAUCUAGAGGCUAAAGUGAUUAUUUUCCUUAAUGAGUAUUGAGAUAUUGAUGUUUAGUACAGCAAGUCUGUAGUAACAGUAUUAAGCCAUUGAACCAGCUAAUUUAAAGUUUGAUCAAAGAGCUUUUCUUGGUGAAGUGGAGCAGUAAUAUCUCAGUUAAAAAUCACCAUACAAGGCCAUGUAUUACAAAGACCACCACUCACAUGAGUAAGGAGCCUCAAUUAUAUAAUCUGCUCUCUCAUCCAUGCAUGCCUCUGUCAAAGUUCAUUAAUUUGGUAAUGAAAGAAAAUAAGUGUAUAAUCCCAUGGUUUUUAACAGAUCACAGAACCAAGAACAAGCGCUGAUGGAGGGUGUGUGCAAAACCUGGAAGUUUUGCAGAAGGAUUUCCUGGGUUGCCACCAUGAGAGCAGCAGAAGUUCAGAGAUCAUAAUGACAGAACUAAUAAUGUGCUUCCAUAUGAUGGAAUCCCAAGGAAGCUCAUUAUUUGGUGGGUUGAAAGGAAGAAGCAAUAGGUAAAGAAGCACCACCACAGGUGCUUGCAUCCAUACUGCAAAGUCACAUGGAACAGGAACUGACCUCAGCUCUGGAAUCACCAGUUAUUUUUUUCUCCGUGCACACCUACAAGACCAAGUAUGUGGCUGUACUUCCACCUGGAGAUCUCCAGAUGUGGGGGAGAUCUGAUGCCUGCAUGGAGGAUGAAAGGCCUAUGGACUCAUCUUAUUUUGCUGUCUCCACUAAGUAUCCACACUGUCUGGAAAAAAAAAUCCCAUGUUGAUAAUCUGGGGUGAAAUAUAUCCAUGAUGGAGGUUCUUAUAGAUACUCCGAGCAGUAUUUCUAGCACUGCUCCAUCACAAGCACAGGAACAUGUUUAAUCUGAUUCACGUCCUCCAUCUAAAAAAACAGACAAGACCUGCUCACCAAGUAAUAAGUCUGUCUUUAUUUAGUUGGUGGCCUUGGUUCCUGGAUUUCUGUGCCACAAGAGCAGUUUGAGUACAGUGAGACCCUUGUUAUCUGGAAGAUUGCUCAAUGUUGUGCCUUGUUUCAGUGGGAUGAUGACCAAGGAAACUAUUGAACUAUUGCAGGGAUAUAUCAUGAGAAAGAUGCCCAGUCAUCUGCCCACAUGCUGUGAUGCUGGCUCACAUUUCCAAAGCAGAGUUGCAGACAGAAGAGAUCAUGACAGCUCUGAAGAACUUUGCUAUCUAUGCAAGUUCCUUUUUUUAUCCUUUGUAGUGAGUCACUUUGGAAGGCUCCUUUUUUGGUGCUCUUUAGUUAGACUGCCGAUUCCUUUAUCUCGCAUGCCUGGCUUACCCUGAAACUUGUGACUUGGAUGCAACAGUUACUGGGGCUGUUGUCAUAUUUUUUCUCUCUGGAAUGGUUGAAGUGUUAUCCUUUCCCUAUUUUUAAAUUAUUAUUAUUAUUAAUGAAAAUGCUUCUUACAAAGACAGAAUUCACUACCUGCAAAAAUUGACAUACAACCAAGUAGGGUCUGCCACACACUUCGGUCUGGCAGAAUGCUAUGGAAUCUCCAUGAAAGCAACAGCAUUUUACUUUGAAUGGUAAAUUCACGGUGAUUGUGACCUCUACCAUCUUUUCAGAGCUCAGUGUACUUCUGUGGCCUGUGUGUCCAUCCCAGUAUGGUCUCAAAACGUUCUCCGGAUCUACUUCAAAGUACCCACAAGUGAUUAGUGGGAACUACUGAGGCCCUGCCUGAUCUUAUUGGCCUUUAGGAAAAUAAAAGAGUAAAUGCAGCUUAACAGGGCAUACAGGGAAAGAAAGAAAAGGAGCUGCUGUGUCUUGCAUCCGUCAGCACAAAUGUAUUGACUCCUUGAUUCAGAAAGAGGGGGAUGAAGGGAAUGCAUUGUAGAGAAUCCUUACAGAGUAAGCUAAUUCUCUUCCACUUAUUUUCAUUCUCUUUCUUCUUUGGAGGUAAAUGUACACCCAAGCCUGAGAGACAUUCAAACAACACAUGUAUUUAUUGAAUUCAGCUGCAUGGAACACUGUCUCUUGAAGAAAACAUUUGUGCAGAGAUAGAAAAUAGAUCAUUACAUCUAGUAACUGCAUUGAGGCAGGCUGGUAAUAACAAUUUCCUCCCUUCCUUCUGGACUGCAGUGUGAUGGGGUUGAUGUUAAAACAAACAAACAAACCACCUGAUUUCUAAACUGCAAACUAAUUGUGAUAGACGAAAGCCCCUCUAAAGAUAGCACUUGUUCGCUUUCAUGGUUUUCUGGUUGUAAGCUGAAAGUCUUAGUUGCUGACUAAAGUUGCAACACAGAUAAAGUUUUUAAAGGCCUAAUUCAUGAAUCUAAUAACAACACUAAGAGAAGUGAAUGUACAUUGUCACCUCACUAGUGGAUCUAGCUUCACAUUUUCCUUGUAAAAUAGCUAAGUAUCUGGGAGCAAGAAAGUAUCUGGGGUAACUUUCAGGAUCCAGUGGGUUUACUAUUAGGAAAGAAGCCUUUCUACUGCCUUCAUUAGGAAGAAAGGGGCACUGUGCGAGAGCUGCUUGUCAAAGCAGAGCCUCAUUUUCAGCUCUGCGUCAGAGGAUCUGUGCCCAAAAACUGGGGCACAUGGGGCUCCUCAGAAAGGAGAUACACUGGCUGUGAGCUUGCAUGGGCCAGUUGGGAGCUACUGUGCUCCUCAAAAAGGACUUUGCCAGGAAGGGAGAACUUAUCAUCUAGAAUAUAUUUUGGCUGUACUACACAAGUAAGUCAGUAGUGUGUCCGUACAUGCUUAUAUGAGUACUGGCACUCUUUAAAAUGAAAGAGGUAGAGUUGCUUUUUGUCACUCAAGAAUUUUUGCUAUUCAUUUUGCUGGAGCCAUGAUUUCUCACUAAAUCAAAGCCUGAGAUGCCCAUACAGGCUACUGCAGAUUUAUAAAUCGAAGCCGCAGCCCCCAGUUUCUAUGACAACUGGCACCACACCUCUAUAGGAUCUAGCGCUGCAAUCCCGUGACUGCAUGUCAUUCAGUAGUCACUCAUGAGAUUGGUUUGUUCUUAUUCUUGACAAUAAGAGCAUCUUGUUUAAAACUGUUUAAAAGCAGGUUACACUGCUGGCUGCCUAGGGCUUCAGCAUUUGAGCUUCAAAUAUUUUGAGACAUGCUGAUUUGUUUAAGAGCUGCAGUCUUUUCUGGAAUGUUUUUAAAUCAUAUAAUCAUUCCUACUAGUUUUAUGGAUUCCUAAACUGUUAUCUUUUUAUGCAGGCACAAAUUUAAGUUGACAGUGACUUUCUAGACUUCCACUACAAAGGGCCAACUUACUGUUGAUAGAGGAAUAUUUAUCAAAUGGCUCUAUGAUGUCUUGCAAGGGAAGAUUUUUCAUUAACUCUGAUUAGGAAAGCAACCUGCUAUGUAUGUGUCUUCUGUCAGUUCUUACUAUGCCUAGUGUUUGUGGGACUCCUGGUGGUGGGAAGGGGAAGAAAAGAGGAAGAGGAAUACAAGAAUUGUUUAAUAGAGAAAGGAAGAUAUUUUCACUGAAUGUUAUGUUUGCCAGUUACUGUUAUCUUGCAGCCAACAAAAGCCUCAGUGCUUUAAAUCAUCUCCCUUACAGGCUGCAGUGUACUGGUGCUUUACUUACAUACAUACUUCGUACCUCUCCCUAAGAGUGUCAGUGCUGCUUUAGAAGAGCAGCAUGAAAAAUAUUUGCAACAACACCAUCUGUGUUUAAUUUUCCUUAUUUUGGUGUCUGACAAAAUCCUAUGGUUCAAAUGAUCAAAAGGAACAAAGGAGAGGUGUUUUUUUGUUUGUUUUUUAAGUCUUUUAAAAUUAAAGGUUUUAAAAUUAAAACCUUUGAGAGCUUAAUUAAAAGUACUGUAAGAAAAAUAUGCAGUUGACUUACAGCAAUUGACUUGAGGUUUACAUACUACUGCCAAAUCCUGGAAUGAAGAAUGUUUUAAUGUUGAAUUGGGACAGGAACAAUUGUUUUGUGCAUUGUUUAUGUUAAAAAAAGAAAUACUUAGAUUCCAUGUAAAUACUUAAAAGAAAGUUGUUUGUUUGUUUUGUUUUUUUAAUUUGUUAAUAAUGAACCUGAGUUUUUUAUGGACCAGCUGGCAAAUGGGAUAAGUGAAGCUUGGGAAGCAGGUCUGGGCCAGAUAUAGAUGUAUCUAUGCAUGAGGAACAGCCAAUGGAUGGACAUGAGGUCCAGGACAACUUCUAGAGAGACAGUGUGGUUUCGGGGGCUGAGUGGAGAGACUCAUUUAUAUGCACGUAUGACUGUGUGUGUGCACAUCUCUGUGUAUGAGGCAACUUGAGACAAGAUGACUCAGGUCAACUACUAAGACUACUGCCUAAGGCCAACUAAUGGGAUGAUCCUUAUUGUAUGUAUAUGCAUGUUUCCCACAAACAUGCCCUCAUUCUGAUCUGCCAUAAAGGGAAAUAGGAUGAAACUUGUGGUGCUGUUUUUGUUUGUCUGAGUACUGAGUAUGGGACAGGAAUGGGACAGAAAUGGGUUGAAGGAGACCUUAAAGCCCUUCCUGCUCUGCCUGCCCAAGCUGCCCAUGACCCUAUUCAACCUGGCCUUGAACACCUCCAGGGAUGGUGUUUCUUUCUGUGCUGACCCUCAUUGCCAGCUAUGUGCAACUGAUGGGAAUACAUGCUCAGCCUCCCUACUGCAUUCUGCAGGAGACAUACUACAGAGACCUAGGCACAGCUUUAUUGCAUCAUUGCAUGCAUCUUUCCUCAUACUGUAGCACACCUAACAGUUGGUUCAUUUUUAUCCGUUCAUUUUUUUUUCCGCCUGCACAUCCUUAAACGCCUGUUCUGAGACUGAAUCCUCCCCCCGUGCCUGCACGGAUCACCUGGGCAGCCUUAGCAAGGGAUUUCCGCGGGCACUUUCGCGGGGAGCCCCGCGUUCCGAGAGCACGGUGGGCAGCCCACGGCCGCUGCCUCACCCGCCCUCUGGCGGCGGCGCGCAGCCACGGAGCCGCGGCGGAGCCGCUCUGCGGGCACCCGGGUCGUAAUGGGGCGGCUCGCGUUUCAUCGGGAGCGGAGCGGCAGCCAUCCUGCAGGGCACACCGUGGUAGUUUCUGCUGUUUCUCCACGAGUUGUGAUUUUCUAAGGCCAGUGUUAUGUUACCCAGUGUUGGUUAGAAUUCAGUUAAACAAGACAAAGGGGAACUGUUCAAUCUCCACACUUCAGCUCACGCCCUCUCAACAUCUGUUUUUCCUGGUAAUUAUGGUGAGGCUUUGCUGUGCUACCUGCUGCACAGUGUCAUGACUCCUAGCAAUGAGCAGCACUUGUGUUUUCCAGCUGAGUUGUCUACUUGCAUUGAGUUUUAUGUGUGUUUUAAAUUAGCCCCACUAGCUUCAAUGGAUAAAAUGUUUUUGGUUGCCAUGAACAGAAAACAGUAAGAAUCAGGUAGCUGAGCUGGAUGCAGAAUUGGAGUGAUGAGAAAAGGUAACUAUAGAGACAGGAUUUCCCCUGGCACAGAGGAAAUAAAUUAGCAUCAUGACUCAAUAAACCUGGGCAAAGGUUCCUGCCAGAGAUCAAUUUCUAAAGUCUCUGUCUAUAUGACUUUCAACUGAUUGUCUAACAUGAUGGUGCUAGUGGUUUUCAGCUUGAGUACACCACCAAACACAACAGAAGUGACAUAAUAUAAUACAGAUUGAUUCAUCCAGCAAGGAGUGCUACCUGGAGGUGAGGCUUAGGGAAGGACCCCAAGGGUUAUUAAGGCUAGCUUCCAAUAAGUGGCCAGACUCUGAGUUCUCUACCAACUACUACAGCACAAGCCUUUGUGUGAUUACACCUCUGUACACUCAGUAUGAGCUGAGGGCUCAGAACCUCUGCAUUUAAUGAUCUGCAGAGCCGAAGUGUUGGCACUAAAGCCAAGAAGUCAGGCAGUGCUGGUCUAGAGCAAGAGAGACCCUACAUUCAGACUGCAAUCACAGGUGUUGUAACAGCUGGGUUCCUCCAGUCAUGCAAGUCAUGCAGAGCAUACAUCACAUACAAUGGGGAAUCACAGCUCAGGAAGUUUUGUUGGGGUAUUUGUUCUGAGUUUCAAAGACUUGACCAGAUUGUGGCAGCGAAGCCCAGUGGAGCCCUACGUUUGACCUGCUAAUGUUACAACAAACUCACAAAGCAUUGAAGUGACUCAGACUUCUAUGCACAAACAAAAAGUUCAUUUGUCACAUUGUUUCCAAGAGCAAGGCUCUGAGCCCAGACUAGUCAGUUGUCAGGACCACAUUCCCAGCACACCAUUAACGAUCAUUUAUGAUUCCCUUUGGUGCACAAAUGCCCCUAACAUCAAACGUUUGCCUGAUGAGCGGUUGUAGGGUCCUUGCGCCCUGAGCAGAAAAAGUUAGCAAAAGCAUAUGUAUCAGUGAAUACUCAGGAAAUACACCAUCAACACCCCUCAUUAUGGAAGCUUCUCGCAACAGAGAACACUGGAUAGGAGAUCUGAGCCUGCUUUGUCUUAUCUAGAUUACAGGGAUAGAGGAAACAGCACGCUGAAUUAUGCCACAUUCAAAUGAGCAAAACCUGCAGAAAGGCUACGCAUGCCUAAACGAAUGAACAGCCAGCCUGCCACAGCUCCUUGCUGCUCUCAGUGCCUGGGCUGUGUUAGUGCACUGCUGCGCAUCAACAUCAACCACACUGUGACACAAAAACAAACGCAGCACCUCCAAACCCUAUAACCAAAUGAGCAAAAUGCAGUUAGGAUAAAAUAUUGUAAUAAAACCGCACUGGUUCUUACCAAG